GCCUCCGUAGUUCAGCGGUGGAAUGCGUCCUUGGUAAGGACGAGGUCCCGGGUUCGAUUCCCGGCGGAGGCU
rnacentral:tRNA from 1 species